CUUGUACUCCCUUUGUCUCAAAAUUCUUGUUUUAGAUUUGUCUAAAUAUGGAUGUUUUAUUUGAUACAUCCGUAUCUAGACAAAUUUAAGACAAGAAUUUUAAGACGGAGGAAGUAUGUU
rfam:Triticum urartu cultivar G1812 contig28061, whole genome shotgun sequence.